CCUACGGGAGGCUGCAGUGGGGGAUAUUGCACAAUGGGGGGAACCCUGAUGCAGCGACGCCGCGUGAGCGAAGAAGUACCUCGGUAUGUAAAGCUCUAUCAGCAGAGAAGAAAAUGACGGUACCUGACUAAGAAGCCCCGGCUAAAUACGUGCCAGCAGCCGCGGUAAUACGGAUGGGGCACGCGUUAUCCGGAUUUACUGGGUGUAAAGGGAGCGCAGGGGGCCUGCAAAGUCUGGUGUGAAAACCCGGGGCCCAACCCCGGGCCUGCAUUGGAAACUGGCGUUCUGGAGUGUAGGAGGGGUAGGCGGAAUUCGUGGUGUAGCGGUGAAAUGCGUAGAUAUUAGGAGGAACACCGGUGGCGAAGGCGGCCUGCUGGACGAUGACUGACGCUGAGGCUCGAAAGCGUGGGGAGCAAACAGGAUUAGAUACCCGGGUAGUC
rnacentral:rRNA from 1 species